rnacentral:rRNA from 1 species
GAUGAACGCUAGCGGCAGGCCUAAUACAUGCAAGUCGAACGGUGUCUUCGGACAUAGUGGCGCACGGGUGCGUAACACGUAUGCAACCUACCUUACAUUGGGGGAUAGCCUUUCGAAAGGGAGAUUAAUACCGCAUAAGACAGUAGCUGGGCAUCCAGCAGCUGUUAAAGAUUUAUCGAUGUAAGCUGGGCAUGCGUCCAAUUAGCUAGUUGGUGAGGUAACGGCUCACCAAGGCAAUGAUUGGUAGGGGAACUGAGAGGUCAAUCCCCCACACUGGCACUGAGAUACGGGCCAGACUCCUACGGGAGGCAGCAGUAGGGAAUAUUGGGCAAUGGACGCAAGUCUGACCCAGCCAUGCCGCGUGCAGGAUGAAGGCGUUAUGCGUUGUAAACUGCUUUUAUACAGGAAGAAACGACUCUUGCGAGAGGCAUUGACGGUACUGUAUGAAUAAGCACCGGCUAACUCCGUGCCAGCAGCCGCCGUAAAAC